UACGUAGGGUGCAAGCGUUAAUCGGAAUUACUGGGCGUAAAGCGUGCGCAGGCGGUCUUUUAAGACAGAUGUGAAAUCCCCGGGCUUAACCUGGGAACUGCAUUUGUGACUGAAAGGCUUGAGUACGGCAGAGGGGGAUGGAAUUCCGCGUGUAGCAGUGAAAUGCGUAGAUAUGCGGAGGAACACCGAUGGCGAAGGCAGUCCCCUGGGCCUGUACUGACGCUCAUGCACGAAAGCGUGGGGAGCAAACAGG
rnacentral:rRNA from 1 species